AUGCCAGCAAAAAAAAGAAGUCGGCUAAAAAAAGGAAGAAGAAGGCUGCGAGACGCCUCCGCCCGACCGCGGCGCCGCUCCGCCGGCGCCCCUGCCUGCCCGGUCGGCUGUGCCAAGCCGACCCAGCCGCCUGCCACAUCGCCGGCUGUGCCAAGCCGGCUCAGCUACAUCUCGCUCCAUCGUUUGGCCGGUCAGGCUCGACUGGUCGGACCCCCUUCGAGCGCCCGGAGGAUUGAAGGCUACCCCCAGUGGGUGCGCCGGUAUGCUCCGCGAGCACCAAGCCGCGUCGGCUGCAAGCCGGCAGCCGGCUGUCAUCGACGACCUCUGGCUCGUCCAUGA
rnacentral:rRNA from 1 species